UCCGUCGCAGGCGUAGGAAAUUUGAGAAGACCUGUCCUUAGUACGAGAGGACCGGGAUGGACGUACCUCUGGUGUACCAGUUGUUCUGCCAAGGGCAUGGCUGGGUAGCUAUGUACGGAAUGGAUAAGCGCUGAAAGCAUCUAAGCGCGAAGCCAACUUCAAGAUAAGAUUUCCCACCGCAAGGGUAAGACCCCAGAAAGACUAUCUGGUUGAUAGGUCGAAGGUGUAAGUGCAGCAAUGUAUUUAGCUUAUCGAUACUAAUAGGUCGAGGACUUGACCAAU
rnacentral:rRNA from 1 species